GAUGAACGCUGGCGGCGUGCUUAACACAUGCAAGUCGAACGGUGAAGCAGGAGCUUGCUCUUGUGGAUCAGUGGCGAACGGGUGAGUAACACGUGAGCAACCUGCCCCUGACUCUGGGAUAAGCGCUGGAAACGGCGUCUAAUACUGGAUAUGUGAUGUGACCGCAUGGUCUGCAUCUGGAAAGAAUUUCGGUUGGGGAUGGGCUCGCGGCCUAUCAGCUUGUUGGUGGGGUAAUGGCUCACCAAGGCGUCGACGGGUAGCCGGCCUGAGAGGGUGACCGGCCACACUGGGACUGAGACGCGGCCCAGACUCCUACGGGAGGCAGCAGUGGGGAAUAUUGCACAAUGGGCGGAAGCCUGAUGCAGCAACGCCGCGUGAGGGAUGACGGCCUUCGGGUUGUAAACCUCUUUUAGCAGGGAAGAAGCGAAAGUGACGGUACCUGCAGAAAAAGCACCGGCUAACUACGUGCCAGCCGCCGCAGUAA
rnacentral:rRNA from 1 species